rnacentral:sRNA from 1 species
GACAGGCAAGAUCGCCACCCGUCAGCAAGGAUUUGCCCGCGGGUGUAAAACUG